rnacentral:vault_RNA from 1 species
GCACUGGUUUAGCUCAGUGGUUACUUCGUUCAAUUGUCACUGAUCACUAUCCUCUCCGGGGGAUCGAACCGCGGGCGCUGUCCAGUGUUUUC